UUUUAUCACUUGCAACCACAACGGUCCCGAGUAACACAGAAUGACUGGCAUCGGUGGUAAAGAGGAGCCGGAAGGAGAGGCUCCAGGAGAGGGCGGCCUGGGAAAGCUACUGUACAGCUCCCCUUGCCUGGCUCACUCUGAUGCACUUGUGAGACUCUGACCUCUGCCAGACCACCCCCGCCUCUGCCAUGCCCCAGCCUGCAGGGAGAGCUGAAAUGGGUCCACAGGGAACCAUUUUGAGUCCGCAGUACUUGGUCAAGCCUCAUCCAGCCUCUGUUUUCUGCCGGGCCCUGUCCAGUCGCCGCGAGGUGUUGUGCGCCACCUGGUGGUCGCAUGGCAGACAGCAUUCCUCCAAGUGAGGCUCGGAACCAGCAGGGAAGUUCAAGCGGUGCUCCAGCAUCUGCACCUCAACCCCAGCGCAUCUUUUAGCCAGUGACAAGC
rnacentral:lncRNA from 13 species